rnacentral:misc_RNA from 1 species
ACAAAAAGUGAUAAGAUUAUUAUAAUGAAAGUGUAUACUGACAUUAUAAUAGUUUUAUUCAUGUUCUAUAAACAAAUACCUUCACGUGGUAUAGAAUGAACAAUGUAUUGGAAUAGUACAUUGACCAAGAUUUGUAAUGUAAGAAUUGUGAAUGUUAAAAAGAUGUGUUUUAAUAUGUAGAGAAUUAUAUUAAGUGAUAAAGAUAAAUGUAGAAAAAAGUUUUAUGGUAAAUGUUUUUAGUUAAAAAAUUUCUGUUGUGUAAUUUUUAAGAUGUAUAAUAUAAAAUCAUAUAACUAAUAAACUUUUAAUAU